GACGAACGCUGGCGGCGUGCCUAACACAUGCAAGUCGAGCGGGGGGAGUUCUUCGGAACGAACCUAGCGGCGGACGGGUGAGUAACACGUGGGUAACCUGCCUCAGUGAGGGGGAUAGCCUCCCGAAAGGGAGAUUAAUACCGCAUAAUAUUGGAUUCUCGCAUGGGAAUUUAAUUAAAGGAGUAAUCCGCACUGAGAUGGACCCGCGGCGCAUUAGCUAGUUGGUGAGGUAACGGCUCACCAAGGCCACGAUGCGUAGCCGACCUGAGAGGGUGAUCGGCCACAUUGGAACUGAGACACGGUCCAGACUCCCACGGGAGGCAGCAGUGGGGAAUAUUGCACAAUGGGCGAAAGCCUGAUGCAGCAACGCCGCGUGAGUGAUGAAGGCCUUCGGGUUGUAAAGCUCUGUCUUUGGGGACGAUAUUGACGGUACCCAAGGAGGAAGCCACGGCUAACUACGUGCCAGCAGCCGCGGUAAGAC
rnacentral:rRNA from 1 species